UGGUUUUGUAUAUCCUUCCAGAAAUUUUCUGUCUGUAAGCUUGCAUGUAUGUGUGUUUCCCAAUUUUACCAAUAGGAUUAUACACUUAGUACAUUUUUUUUUUCUUUUGAGGGUAUGUCUUAGUAUUAACAUAUAUAUAAAUCUGUCUCAUUCUUUCUAAACACCUGUGUAGAUGACCCAUAAUUUAUUCAGUUACUGAUUCUGUUAUUCUUAGUCUGUGGUAGCAAACAGCAGAAACCUACUAUGUGGUUAAUUUAAGCAGAAGAUUUUAUUACGAAGAUUGAAUAUUCAUAGAUUGAUAGAAAAGCAAUAUAAUCCAGCUUGAAAAUGGCAAAACCAAGGAAGGCAAGGCACAGCCAGAUUCCUGCUGUCAGUACAGCCUGCUGAAGAAGAUGCUGGAGACAUGUAACUGGUCUCAUCAUCACUGUAGCCACCGUGGAUUCUCUCCUUAUGGUCCCUGAUAAUGGAGCAGUCCCUCAAGAUUCUAGAUUCUGGACAAGAGCAUCUGAUAGGUUGAGUCUAGGUCACAUGUUUAUACCCUCGCUGCUGGGGAAUUCAAAGAAAGAUGCUUUGAUGCUAGGUUGCCAGAAAUAACAAAUGUUCACCUAUGACUCCUUGAUGAAUAUUGUUACACAGUAUAACGUGAUUCUUGUGGUUUUGUCCAAGAGUUCUCAAACGUCAGUGCACAAUAGCAUCACCUGGACAGCUUGGCAAAACCCAGAUUGCAGGGCUCCAGCCCAAAGUUUCUGAUGCAGUAAGUCGCUGAUGGGGCUGAUCAUUUGCAUUACAAGUUUACAGCAAAUUGUGACUCUUAAGAUUCUGAGAGGUAGUUAUACAUCAGUUUUCUUCAUUCUGAUUCUUCUCAAACACUCCAGCCGUUUUCCACCAUUAAAACAAGUGAGGGAAAGUCCCAGCAUUUUGGAGGAAGAAAAGAAAGGUAUGUUAUUUUUACCACAUUGUGCUAUCUUACUUGCUAUUAGAGUUAAUAUUUUAUCAUUUAUUCUCUAUGGAAAUUAGCAAAUGCUCCAUUGUACUUUAUAGUUUUUAAAAAUUUAGGUUAUAUCUGGCUUUGUAUUUUUUUUUAAAUAUUGCACUAAAGAAAAAGUAGGUCUUCCCUAAGAAAAUCUAAACUUGGCUUAUAUUCAAAAACCCUCCACUUCACCAAAUUAAAUAUGGUUUCUCUUAAUGAAGGACCUAUUAACCAUACUGAUUGGAUCAGUCAGAGUCCAGCAAGGAGACUGAAACCACACAGAAAUUUGAACAAGGAAAGUCUAAUAUAAAGAAUCAUUAAUGGGAUCCCUGGGUGGCACAACGGUUUAGCGCCUGCCUUUGGC